GAAACACAGCCUUUAGCAUUACCUGACAAAAAUAAACUAAUAUAUGUACGAAAUACUUUCAACGCCAUUUCAUAAGCAUUACAUGAAUUGUCACGUUAUUGCCCUCAAAUUGUUCCAUGGAUCUAAAUAAAUCGAAUUACCCUGUCAGCUAUGUACCUAUAUACCAUCUAAAAAUUACGGAUUCAGGGGUGUAGCAAAAUCAUGCUCUGAAAAAAGAAAUCCUAUAAGCUCUAAGACAGCCCAGACAUUCGGUUCACCAUAUGAUCUAAUAUCUAAUAGUAUAAGAUAAGAUUAAAAACAUGUGAAAAUACAAAUAUUGAAAUUUAUCAGAUCUACCACUGGGCAUGAUAUCAUGAUGGCAUACAGGUCGAAAGGAGCUUAGCAGAUAUCAUGAUGUGAUGACAAUAGAAACAGAAAAGUAUCGACACAGACCAUGGUAGACGAAUAGUGCAGACAUUUAGUAAGGCAGCAAUCUCGAAUCCGAUAACUAGGGAGCCCAACCAUGUGGUGGAAGAAAAUAGAAAUUUAGGACCAAGCACAGGUUUAACUACCGUUUUAUAGCAAGACAGACCGGAUCUCAGCAAACAAAACAUCACAUGCAGCAGGUAAAAGUUUCGAUGAGAGCAAUCUUCCACCAAAUAGAGCAAUAACGUAUAAAAACAAUGGGUUGCAGUUGCUCAACUCAUCAAUAUCUUCCACAUAAAGUGCCACAAUCAAAGAAAAAGGAACCCCUUCAUAUAUUCCCCGUGAAGAAAACAAGUGUGGUAGGCAUAUUGCCUGUUGCAGCUGUAAAGAUUAUAAUUUUAGUUUAAAAAACCAUGCAUGUCCAAUUAGCAACAAAGGAACCCAAUGAUGAAUCCAAAAAGACCACAAUUAGCCAAGAAUCCUGCCAAAAUGUCAAUAACAUUAAUAAAGCAAAGACUAAAACUGAAAGCUAGUGAUGAUGAAGUAUGGCGUAUAGCACAAAUAUUUAAUAAUUUACCCGCUUGACUACUUUUCCAAAGAUCCAGAAACAGGAUAGCCAAAUCGGCAUUUUC
rnacentral:lncRNA from 1 species